GACGAACGCUGGCGGCGUGCUUAAUACAUGCAAGUCGAACGCAGUGGGGACGGGUGAGUAACCCGUGGGUAACCUCCCAUCAGAGGGGAUAACACUUGGAAACAGGUGCUAAACCGAUACUGAUGGAUGGACCGGCGUUGGAUUAGCUAGUUGGGGGGGUAACGGCUCACCAAGGCGACGAUGCGUAUCCGGUCUGAGAGGAUGAACGGCCACACUGGGACUGAGACACGGCCCAGACUCCUACGGGAGGCAGCAGUGGGGAAUCUUCGGCAAUGGACGAAAGUCUGACCGAGCCACGCCGCGUGAGUGAAGAAGGUUUUCGGAUCGUAAAGCUCUGUUGUUAGGGAGGCGGUAUCUAACCAGUAAGCCACGGCUAACUACGUGCCAGCAGCCGCGGUAAUAC
rnacentral:rRNA from 1 species